rnacentral:rRNA from 1 species
CAGUAGCCGCGGUAAUACGAAGGGGGCUAGCGUUGUUCGGAAUUACUGGGCGUAAAGCGCACGUAGGCGGAUAUUUAAGUCAGGGGUGAAAUCCCAGAGCUCAACUCUGGAACUGCCUUUGAUACUGGGUAUCUUGAGUAUGGAAGAGGUGAGUGGAAUUCCGAGUGUAGAGGUGAAAUUCGUAGAUAUUCGGAGGAACACCAGUGGCGAAGGCGGCUCACUGGUCCAUUACUGACGCUGAGGUGCGAAAGCGUGGGGAGCAAACAGGAUUAGAGACCCCGGUAGUCCCUGUCUCUUAUAC